GGAGAUGUACCCAAGUGGCUGAAGGGUCCAGAUUCGAAAUCUGGUAGGUCGGUCCGCCGGCGCGAGGGUUCAAAUCCCUCCAUCUCCG
rnacentral:tRNA from 1 species